UUGAACGCUGGCGGCAUGCCUUACACCUGCAAGUCGCACGGCAGCGCGGACUUCGGUCUGGCGGCGAGUGGCGAACGGGUGAGUAAUACAUCGGAACGUACCCUGUUGUGGGGGAUAACUAGUCGAAAGAUUAGCUAAUACCGCAUACGACCUGAGGGUGAAAGUGGGGGACCGCAAGGCCUCACGCAGCAGGAGCGGCCGAUGUCUGAUUAGCUAGUUGGUGGGGUAAAGGCCCACCAAGGCGACGAUCAGUAGCUAGUCUGAGAGGACGAUCAGCCACACUGGGACUGAGACACGGCCCAGACUCCUACGGGAGGCAGCAGUGGGGAAUUUUGGACAAUGGGGGCAACCCUGAUCCAGCAAUGCCGCGUGUGUGAAGAAGGCCUUCGGGUUGUAAAGCACUUUUGUCCGGAAAGAAAUCGCGCUGGUUAAUACCUGGCGUGGAUGACGGUACCGGAAGAAUAAGCACCGGCUAACUACGU
rnacentral:rRNA from 1 species